UCCUAUAGAACCAGCUGAUCUGUCAACUGGUGGUUGAAAAUGGCUAGCUUAGGGCCAGAGAGGCCAACUUGGGCCCAGAGCAAUAUAGUUCAGUGGGCAGGGCACUUGUCUUGCAUAUUCCUGUCCCAGUUUAAUUCCUGCUUUCCAUGUAUUUUUCCAAGCCCCACUUAAAAUUCUUGAGUAUAGAGCCAUAAGUAGACCCUCAGCAUCACUAAGUGGCUCCAGAAAACAAAUUCCUCAUGGAGAUUUCCAACAGACUUUUGUGGAAAGAGGUCAGAUUGAAUAUUUUACAUCGAGGAUUAUCUGCAUUGAGGGGAUUAUUGAAGACAAGGGGUGGUGAACUUGGUGCACAUGGACUGGAAAAUACUGGGCCUCGAAAAUAGUUCAAAGGGCUAAAACACAUGUUUUGCAGGAGAUUUGGGUUCUGUCCCUAACAGUGCUUUUUCCCUUGAGUAAGCCAAGAGUAUUCCCUGGGCCCCCCAAACAAACAAACAAA